rnacentral:rRNA from 1 species
CAGUCGCCGCGGUAACACGUAGGUGGCAAGCGUUGUCCGGAAUUAUUGGGCGUAAAGGGCUCGCAGGCGGUUUCUUAAGUCUGAUGUGAAAGCCCCCGGCUCAACCGGGGAGGGUCAUUGGAAACUGGGAAACUUGAGUGCAGAAGAGGAGAGUGGAAUUCCACGUGUAGCGGUGAAAUGCGUAGAGACGUGGAGGAACACCAGUGGCGAAGGCGACUCUCUGGUCUGUAACUGACGCUGAGGAGCGAAAGCGUGGGGAGCGAACAGGAUUAGAUACCCCCGUAGUCCCUGUCUCUUAUAC